rnacentral:rRNA from 1 species
UACGUAGGGUGCGAGCGUUUAAUCGGAAUUACUGGGCGUAAAGCGUGCGCAGGCGGUUUUGUAAGCCAGAUGUGAAAGCCCCGGGCUUAACCUGGGAAUGGCAUUUGGGACUGCAAGGCUUGAGUGCGGCAGAGGAGACUGGAAUUCCUGGUGUAGCAGUGAAAUGCGUAGAUAUCAGGAGGAACACCGGUGGCGAAGGCGGGUCUCUGGGCCACUACUGACGCUGAGAAGCGAAAGCGUGGGGAGCGAACAGG